CAGUCUCAUUUCUCAGGUGGCAGGUGAUAAAAUGCUUGACUGCCUCAAGUUGUGCCAGGGCAGGUUUAGGUUGGAUACUAGAAGAAUUUCUCCACAGAGAAGUUGGCCAAGCAUUGGAGUGGGCUGCUUGGGGAAGGAAUGGUGUCCCCAUCCUUGGAGGUGUUUGAAAGGUGUGUGGACAUGGUGAAGUGGUGGGACUAGGGCAAAGAUGGACCUAGACCUUGUACCAGCUGCCUGAGCUGUGGUUCCCGGGGAGUCCUUCAGCUUUGUCUUCUGCGAUUUGUUCUGACUGCUGUGCUGCUGGCCAGGCCCACUGGGGCACUGAGCUGAUGCCCCACCUUGAAGACUCCCUUUCCCAUUGCCCUUUAGUUUUCUCACUAAUUAAUGCUCUCUGGAUGUUCUCGUUUAAGUGAAGGCUCCCAAGGUUGCUGAUUGUGCCCUCUUUUCAUGUUCCUGGUCAGUUCUUCUAACCAUAUGGGUCUGAUCACCCUGGUGUAGUCAGUAAAAUGCAUCUCCCAGUGCUGCUGUUAGCAAUCUGUAAUCCUAUCAUUGCUGAUUUGUCAGGUUUCCCAGGAGCCAGGCCAGUCAUGACUUUCUAGUAUUUUUUAAAUGCUCCUAUGCACACAUCAGACAAAGCAACAGUGCAAGCAAGAGUAUAAGGUGUUGGAGUGUUACUAUUGCCAUUUGGAAAACCCAAACCUUCUGUUCCACUUCUUGCCAUUUUGACCUCACAGUGAUGUGCUGAGCACCAAGUUUCAGAAGUCAAAAGCUGCUGUAGACUCGAAAGGAUCUUUGCAAAAAUGUAUUUAAUAUGAUGCUGUUAAAUCUGUGUGAGCCUGUGUUUUUAUGCAGAGAAGCCAGAGGAAUGGGAUUAUUAUACAAGGUCAUGUGUUUAUACAUCCUUUUUCCCAAGGUCGAUCUGCAAACAUUUGAGGGCAAGUUUAAAUGAGGCUGCUGAGCCAAUCUUCCCAUUUCUUUUAUGAAGCAAGGGGUUUGACUGCUCUCAACUAGCAUAAAACCACUCUGCACUGGGAACAGCCAAAUACCACCUGGUCUGCAAUGAAAUCAGAGCAGCAGAUUUUUGAGUGUGUGCUGUCAUUUUUUUAUUUUCACUCUGGAAGCUCUCUAAUUUCUUCUCCCUCUUACCACAUAUUUGAGUUUCUCUGAAGAUGACUAUUUGUA